rnacentral:pre_miRNA from 1 species
UUUCUACUCCCUCCAUCCGAAAAUACUUGUCAUCAAAAUGGAUAAAAAUAGAUGUAUCUAAAACUAAAAUACGUCUAGAUACAUUUCCUUUUAUCCAUUUUGAUGACAAGUAUUUCCAGACGGAGGGAGUAUUUG